rnacentral:rRNA from 1 species
CCUAGGGGAGGCAGCAGCGGGGAAUCUUCCGCAAUGGGCGAAAGCCUGACGGAGCAACGCCGCGUGUAUGAAGAAGGCCUUCGGGUUGUAAAGUACUUUCAGCGGGGAGGAAGGUGUUGUGGUUAAUAACCGCAGCAAUUGACGUUACCCGCAGAAGAAGCACCGGCUAACUCCGUGCCAGCAGCCGCGGUAAU